rnacentral:lncRNA from 1 species
UUGGGAUUCAUUAUUUCUUGUUUUUUUUCUCUUUUUAUUGCUCUUUUGAGCACGCUUUUUGCCAACCUCAAUUCUUCUAGAUAAGUGCUUCAGGAUACUUCUCAUAAUUUUUCAUUUCUCUUUUUUUUCUUUUGAAGUUUCGUACUUUUCUAUUUUUUUCUACACUUAUCUACUUUUCAUCGGUGUCCCAAAAAUUUGAUGAAACCCCAAACUUAGGAUUUUCCACAAAUCCAGGGUAAACAACACUUAUCUAAAUAAGGUAUGGUAG